rnacentral:tRNA from 1 species
AGGGGUGUAGCUCAGUGGUAGAGUGCAUGCUUAGCAUGCACAAGGUCCUAGGUUCAAUCCCCAGUACCUCCA